UGGCAAUGCUAACACUGGUGUACU
rnacentral:siRNA from 1 species